GACAGAGGGUGCAAACGUUGUUCGGAUUUACUGGGCGUAAAGAGCGUGUAGGCGGCCCGGUAAGUCCGCUGUGAAAGUCGGGGGCUCAACCCUCGGAUGCCGGUGGAUACUGUCGGGCUAGAGUACGGAAGAGGCGAGUGGAAUUCCUGGUGUAGCGGUGAAAUGCGCAGAUAUCAGGAGGAACACCUAUUGCGAAGGCAGCUCGCUGGGACGUUACUGACGCUGAGACGCGAAAGCGUGGGGAGCAAACAGG
rnacentral:rRNA from 1 species